rnacentral:rRNA from 1 species
UGCUAGUCGCACGGGUUAGACCCGUGGCGGAAAGCUCAGUAACACGUGGCCAAACUACCCUGUGGACGAGGACAACCUCGGGAAACUGAGGCUAAUCCUCGAUACGGCUUCCCACCUGGAGUGGGGGAAGCCGGAAAUGCCCCGGCGCCACAGGAUGUGGCUGCGGCCGAUUAGGUAGACGGUGGGGUAACGGCCCACCGUGCCAGUAAUCGGUACGGGUGAUGAGAGUCAGCGCCCGGAGACGGUAUCUGAGACAAGAUACCGGGCCCUACGGGGCGCAGCAGGCGCGCAACCUUUACACUGCACGCGAGUGCGAUAGGGGGACUCCGAGUGCGAGGGCAUAUAGUCCUCGCUUUUCUGGACCGUAAGGAGGUUCAAGAAUAAGGGCUGGGCAAGACCGGUGCCAGCUGCCGCGGUAAUACCGGCAGCCCGAGUGAUGGCCGCGAUUAUUGGGCCUAAAGCGUUCGUAGCCUGCCGGACAAGUCCGUUGGGAAAUCCACGCGCUCAACGCGUGGGCGUCCAGCGGAAACUGUCCGGCUUGGGGCCGGAAGACUCGAGGGGUACGUCCGGGGUAGGAGUGAAAUCCCGUAAUCCUGGACGGACCGCCGGUAGCGAAAGCGCCUCGAGAGGACGGACCCGACGGUGAGGAACGAAAGCCAGGGUCUCGAACCGGAUUAGAUACCCGGGUAGUCCUGGCCGUAAACGAUGCUCGCUAGG